AAAAAAAAAAAAGAAUAACAAAAUAAAACCAAAUCCCAGCACCCGGGACAGUGAGGCAGGGAGAAAUCCAGUCUGAGAACCUAGCUUGGGCUACAUUGUAAAACACCAGCCUGGGCUACAUUGCAAAACAAAUGCAGAUGGGUGGAGUCUUAGCCACAGGUUUAUUGCAGCGGCUGUCGUAGCUCACGCUGACGGCUGGAUCCAGCUCCAAGACCCUCUCUGCUCCCAGCUCCAAGACCCUCUCUGCUCCUCCCCGCCUCCGGCACCUGAGGUAAUGAGGCCGUUGAGGUCUCUGAGGAUAGCUCGGAAGGAAGGGCGCUGGCCAGGAUCGUACGCCAUGCACUGUGCGAUAAGCCCCGCCAGUUCUGUCCAUUUGAGGGCGGGCAGCUGUCCCCGGUCCUCGUAGAACUUCAGCUUCUGAGGGACGAGGGUUCCGUUCAGUGUUGAGAUGCCCAUCACAUGAUUUAACCCUACCCUCACGACACCCCCUUCCCACACCGGGCUCCGAAGUCCGACACCACCAGUUCCGACCUUGGCGGGCUCCAGCGAGGUGAUGUGCGCCGGUCCCCCGCUGAACACCUCCCACGUGGUGGCGCCAAAGCCCCACUUGUCAGCCUCCAAGCCGAGCGUCUGGGCUUCCUGGAGACACUCGGGGGCCACCCAGGGUAUCCUGUCGGUGAGCACUGGAGAAAGGGAGUGGGGCUUUGAGAAUGGUCAUGGUCACCUUCUGCACGAAGUGCCCCCUUUGCCAGCGCAGGCCCUGUGCAACCCCGUGUGGCUGCACACACAGAAGACAGCCGGUACAGUCAGGUGAGGCUAGCCUGUACUCACUUUCCAGGCUCAGCACAGUUGGACUGACACCAGGAUCACUCAGCUUGAUGAAAGGUGGAUUCCCAUCAACCCCCUCGCGAGCCAGGAGCACCUUCCGUGCGGAGACGUUGCCGUGAGGGAGACCUUUGUCCUCCUAAGUGUUACAGGCACAAAGAAGUGUGGCUCAGGUGUCACCUCCUCCAGGAAGCCAUCCUGGCACCAGCAGUGAACCAACCUGGACACAGGCUGUAAGAAGAAAACUGUCAUAGUCCUGCGGGCUGCGGCGGAGAAUGUAGGAGCCCGGGAGGGAGCCAGCGGCCUUCAGCUUGUGAAUGGCAAAGUCUAACCUAGGCCAAGACAGCAGCCAGGUCCAAUCCAGACAAUUCCCGCUGCCCAGCCCCGUCCCCACUGUGACCCCAACCAGCUCCUCACGUGAUAGGUCCAUGGCACAGCUCCGCCUCCUCCUCCAGCAGCCGCGGCGGCGCUACCUCCUUGCAGAAGUAAUGCCUGGAGUCGCAGGUCAGGCGGAAGUACCCAUCCACGAGGGCCACGAAGGACAGUGCCUCAGGCAGCCCCGGGAACUCCGCUUCCUGCACGGGAGAACUUUUCAGCAACCACAGAGUCCACCCCUCUCCCAGGGUCAGCACCAGAACAACGGGUGCCAAGACUCACCAGGAUGUGACCGUCCAUCCUGGUGAUGGUGACCAGCCGGUGCUCCCCUGCGGGACCCACGCGUGGGGCCUGCUUUAUGCUGACAUCCACGAUUUCGGGAAAGUCACAGAAGGUCUGAAAAAGCUGAGGAAGAAAGGACAGGCAGAAGCUGGGGGAUUACAGACCUGAUACAGCACAACUCCCGUUCUUCCUCCUUCCCACCUCCACUUACGAGGGGGUGUGGGGGACUGAGACUGGCCUGGUCAAGUCACGCCUACCGACCUAAUCCAGACCGUCCCUGCCCCCUAUCUAGUCCCACCCUUCUGGUUACGCCCCCAGGUCCAGUCCCUGGGUAGCUCCACCCCCGGACCCGUCUCUAAUUGACCCCACCCCCGUCAGGCCGUCCCACCCCGACUAGUCCCUUUCCUGAUUGGUUCCUCCUUCUUUCCUAACCGCCACGCCUCCCCGCAGACCCUGCUCCUCAAAGCUCGUCCCCAGCACCUCCAGGUCCCCGGAGCUCCAGGCGAUGCCGUUGCUCCCUGCCACACGCAGGAGCCCCGGCUCCUCCUGGGCGCCCGGGAGCCCCACGCUGAAGGCCUCGGUGGUGGCCGCUGGAUGUAGCCGCUCCAGGUCCAGGAUGUACUUGGCCAUGAGCGCGUAGCGGUCGGCCUGGCAGGCGACCACGCGGCGCAGCGCCUGGACCACGGUCCUGCGGAUGCGCCUACGUGUCACGAAGUUCUGGCCCUGGAUCACAUCGCGCAGGCUGGGCGGCAGACAGGCUUUGUAACUGUGGGUGGGGGUCACGCCGAGUGUUUAAGGUGGUGAGGGGGCCCGAAGGACACACGAGACAGACAUGGAGGACCUUUCGGCAGGAGCAGGCUGACGGAGAGGAUAGCUGCACAAGUCGACGUUGGGAAGGAGGUAUGUGUAGGAGUUUGGUAAAGGAAAACGAUAGGGCCCUAGAUCCGCAGCCAAAGGAGACUACAGAGAGGUGGCCCGAGGUCCUCACCUGACGAUCUUCAGCAGCUCUCCUGGCCGCUGGGCCUGCUCACGAGCCAUCUGGGCCAAGUCCAGCACGGCCAGACUCAGGAACUCUCCCUGGUCCUUCAGGCUAAGGCCCACUGGGAGGCGCCCACUCACUAGGUCACUGCGGUGCUGGGUCAGCCACAGGAGGGUGGUUAGGUGAGGUUCUGACCUGGGAGCUGGGAUUUGUUACCUUGGGGUCCCCCAUCCCUGGGUUGAGCCUUCCCCACCGAAGAAUACCAACCUGAGCAAAGAGAUGUUCUAAAACAUGUACGUCAAGGAUGGCACUGGUCAAAUCUUUGCGCAGCCCAAAGCGGUGACAUGUCUCCAGGCCAAACCAGUCAGGGAAAUAAAAGCUGUGGGUUCCAGAACGGGGUGGCCCACUCAGCUCUGGCUUCCCAGAGCCUAAGUUGGGUCACUGAAGUGCUGUGUGGCCUACAGCAAACAG